UACGUAGGGGGCAAGCGUUGUCCGGAAUCAUUGGGCGUAAAGAGCGUGUAGGCGGCCAGAUAAGUCCGCUGUGAAAACUCGAGGCUCAACUUCGAGCUGUCGGCGGAAACUAUCUGGCUAGAGUCCGGAAGAGGAGAGUGGAAUUCCUGGUGUAGCGGUGAAAUGCGCAGAUAUCAGGAAGAACACCCGUGGCGAAGGCGGCUCUCUGGGACGGUACUGACGCUGAGACGCGAAAGCGUGGGGAGCAAACAGG
rnacentral:rRNA from 1 species